AGUGAUUGACUUUCCAUAACAAUGAGCAACAAAAUUGAAAAGCCUUAUCAGUUAGGCAGAUAUAUGACAUGAUAAAAAAGAAUCAAAACUGUUCAGUAAUCAAAUAUUCCAAACAUAUGAGUUCAUUGCACUACACAACUACUUGAUACAUGGACAAUCCUAAACUAAAGAAACAUAGCACGAAAGAAAUUCUCCGUGUACAUUAACAUAUCACAAAAACAAUGUGCAUAUGCCUCAAAGUCAGAAAUUUUUCCAACACUAUUUACCUCCU
rnacentral:misc_RNA from 1 species